GCGUGGUUGGAGUAGUGGUUAACUCGUUGCCCUCCCACUUCCGUUGACAGGCAGAAAGUAGGUUGAUAUCUUCUCGAUUUUGGGAACUUCGCUAACCCAAACAGCACUGGUUCGAACCCGGUGCCGCGCA